rnacentral:ncRNA from 1 species
UUGGUGGAUCCUGCCAGUAGUCAUAUGCUUAUCUCAAAGAUUAAGCCAUGCAUGUGAAAGUAUGAACUAAUUCAGAAUGUGAAACAGCGAAUGGCUCAUUAAAUCAAUUAUAUUUGUUUGAUGGUAUCUGCUACUCAGAUAAUCGUAGUAAUUCUAGAGCUAAUACGUGCAACCAACUCUAACUUCUAGAAGGGAUUCAUUUAUUAGAUAAAAGUUUGACGCAGGCUCUGCCCAUUGCUUCGAUGAUUCAUGAUAACUCGACGGAUUGUACGGCCAUCGUGCCGGCGACGCAUCAUUCAAAUUUCUGCCCUAUCAACUUUCGAUGGAAGGAUAGUGGCCUACUGUUAGCCCCUUAGGCUUAAUUUGAUCCCGUGACACCUACCAUGGUGGUGAUGAGUGACAGAGAAUUAGGGUUCGAUUUCAGAGAGGGAGCCUUAGAAACGGCUACCAAAUACAAGGAAGGCAGUAGGCGCAAAUUAACCAAUCCUGACACGAGGAGGUAGUGACAAUAAAUAACAAUACCGGGCUCGACAUAGAUCUUUAAAGACAUAGAUU